rnacentral:rRNA from 1 species
GACGAACGCUGGCGGCGUGCUUAACACAUGCAAGUCGAACGGAAAGGCCCUGCUUGCAGGGUACUCGAGUGGCGAACGGGUGAGUAACACGUGGGUGAUCUGCCCUGCACUUCGGGAUAAGCCUGGGAAACUGGGUCUAAUACCGGAUAGGAGCCGUUUUUAGUGUGAUGGUUGGAAAGUUUUUUCGGUGUAGGAUGAGCUCGCGGCCUAUCAGCUUGUGGGUGGGGUAAUGGCCUACCAAGGCGGCGACGGGUAGCCGGCCUGAGAGGGUGGACGGCCACAUUGGGAAUGAGAUACGGCCCAGACUCCUACGGGAGGCAGCAGUGGGGAAUAUUGCACAAUGGGCGCAAGCCGGAUGCAGCGACGCCGCGUGGGGGAUGACGGCCUUCGGGUUGUAAACUCCUUUCGCUAGGGACGAGGCUUUUUGUGACGGUACCUAGAUAAGAAGCACCGGCUAACUACGUG